rnacentral:tRNA from 1 species
GGGUGUAUAGCUCAGUUGGUUAGAGCGUCUGCUCGACAUGCAGAAGGUCUCAGGUUCGAAUCCCGAUAUGCCCACCA